rnacentral:rRNA from 1 species
GUGGGGAAUCUUGCGCAAUGGGCGAAAGCCUGACGCAGCCAUGCCGCGUGAAUGAUGAAGGUCUUAGGAUUGUAAAAUUCUUUCACCGGGGACGAUAAUGACGGUACCCGGAGAAGAAGCCCCGGCUAACUUCGUGCCAGCAGCCGCGGUAAUACGAAGGGGGCUAGCGUUGCUCGGAAUUACUGGGCGUAAAGGGCGCGUAGGCGGACAGUUUAGUCAGAGGUGAAAGCCCAGGGCUCAACCUUGGAAUUGCCUUUGAUACUGGCUGUCUUGAGUACGGGAGAGGUGAGUGGAACUCCGAGUGUAGAGGUGAAAUUCGUAGAUAUUCGGAAGAACACCAGUGGCGAAGGCGACUCACUGGCCCGUUACUGACGCUGAGGCGCGAAAGCGUGGGGAGCAAACAGGAUUAGAAACCCCUGUAGUCCC